rnacentral:rRNA from 1 species
GACGAACGCUGGCGGCGUGCCUACUACAUGCAAGUAGAACGAGUUGCGAACGGGUGAGUAAUGUCUGGGAAACUGCCUGAUGGAGGGGGAUAACUACUGGAAACGGUAGCUAAUACCGCAUACCAUCAGAUGUGCCCAGAUGGGAUUAGCUAGUAGGUGGGGUAACGGCUCACCUAGGCGACGAUCCCUAGCUGGUCUGAGAGGAUGACCAGCCACACUGGAACUGAGACACGGUCCAGACUCCUACGGGAGGCAGCAGUGGGGAAUAUUGCACAAUGGGCGCAAGCCUAAUGCAGCCAUGCCGCGUGUGUGAAGAAGGCCUUCGGGUUGUAAAGCACUUUCAGCGGGGAGGCGUUACCCGCAGAAGAAGCACCGGCUAACUCCGUGCCAGCAGCCGCGGUAAUAC